rnacentral:rRNA from 1 species
AUUGAACGCUGGCGGCAGGCCUAACACAUGCAAGUCGAACGAGUGGCGGACGGGUGAGUAAUGUCUGGGAAACUGCACGAUGGAGGGGGAUAUCUACUGGAAACGGUAGCUAAUACCGCAUACCCUCGUCUGUGCCCAGAUGGGUUUAGCUUGUAAGUGGGGUAACGGCUCACCUAGGCGACGAUCCCUAGCUGGUCUGAGAGGAUGACCAGCAACACUGGAACUGAGACACGGUCCAGACUCCUACGGGAGGCAGCAGUGGGGAAUAUUGCACAAUGGGCGCAAGCCUGAUGCAGCCAUGCCGCGUGUAUGAAGAAGGCCUUCGGGUUGUAAAGUACGUUCAGCGAGGAGGCGUUACUCGCAGAAGAAGCACCGGCUAACUCCGUGCCAGCAGCCGCGGUAAUUC